CGCUGGCGCGGUGGGGAUGCGAGGAUGGUGAAGAAGCCCAACGGGAACGUGGAGCUCGAGGCGUCUCUGAAUGGCGCCGGGUCGGCCCAAGCCGCUCGGGAGGUCCCGAGGAUCGGCUCGGUGUUGUCCACCGGGGACGAGGAGUCCUCCUUGGAACGCAGAAGUAGGUUCUCGCUCUUCAAGUGGUUCCGCAGAGGGUCUUCGAUUUCAAGAGGGCACUCUGUCGAGGUGGCCGACGUCAAGGCAGCCGUCGAGGGGGUCGACAGGUCGCAAGGAAGCGUCUGCUCGAGCAACGACAGCGUCGACACUCUGUGCAGCACCACGACGGUGAGGAGUUUCGCGUUCCACGCGGGUGCCCCGUCUCACCUUCAAGGUCUGGACGGAUUUUCGCUAGGUCUGGUGAGCCAGGGCGGAGAGGUCGGUCCGUUCGCCCCCGGGGCGUCCAAAGUGCUGGGGAAGAACGGCAUCGAGAGUUGCAACACCUUGCCUAACGUGAACAGCGGUCGCGGGGACAUCGGUACCAGGUACUCCCUCCAGACGUACAGCUUCAACUCCUGCGGGAGCUUGGCGAGGGUGAGGGAGCCUCGAAGAGCCGACACCGACACCGGGUCCAGGGGCAGGAGGGUACACGUGAAGGGGAAACGCAGAGCGCCGAACCCGCCGAUCCCCAGGUCGAGAAACCCCGUCAAUGUCGAGGUCUCCACCAGAAAUAGAGGCAGCGCUCGGCGCAAACGGCCCGCCCCUCCUCCUCCGGACAGGAACUCGACGACCUCCCAGGGGAGUCCUGAAGAUAAGAAAUUCAACACCUCGGACAUGGCGGACCUCUUCAAGGACGACAAGCUGCCCUCGAUAAGUAACGAUACCUUAGUCCUGAAGGGAGGGGUCCUCCUGUCGAAGAGGGAGGCGAGGUCGCCCUCUUUGCAGGACUCUUCGGCAUCCUCUUCGAUAGAGAAGACCCAGGGGAAUAAAGCAACCGCGACGCCCAGGAACGGUGCCAUGCUUCGUCCUUGGUACAAGCGCAGCGUGUUCGAGCACUCCAGGGAUCCUGGAAUUAACAGAAGAGGUGACAUCCUGAGGAGUCCAACGAACCUGGAGCAGGUGGCGACGAGUAAAACCUCCUCCUCGCGACCCCAGGAGAAAACCAGCUCUGAUUCCACCUUGUCCAGGUUGAACUUCUUCCACCGGGACCGGCAGACCGAAGAGCGCCGUAGAGAGGCUAAAAGGAAAUCCGGAUUGUCCAUCCUGGCCAACAUCAGCGAGCUGGACAAAGAAGCCGCCGCCAUCGUCCAGGAGGAGCAGGCCAGGGCGAGAGCCUCGAUGCUGCUGCAGUGCGCCAAGUUUUCGGAACAGGAGAAACGUCCCGAUAACCAGGAAGUCGUUCAGGAGCUCGUGACCUCGGCGAUGGAGAGUUCCCCUAGAAGGGGCACCCGGGCGUUGAUAUCGAAGUUUAACGCCAUCAGCAACAUCACCAAGGUCACGGUCAACACGAGCUUCUUCUCGAAGACGGGUCAGGAGGACUCGAAGACCGAAGGUGCACCAGGUGAGCGCCAGGACGACUGGAGGUGCAGGUAUCCUCUGUCCAGCAGCCCUGGAAGAACCUCCAGGGUCGACAGGGACCUCUCCAGGUACUUCCUCCCGCAGCCUCGGACGCCUAAAAAUGAAACGCCGAAUUUAGAGGAGAAGAAGAAAAUCACCGAGGAUGCCGACGCCAUGAAGGAGGUCAAGUAUCAAGCAGGAACCUCUCGAAACGGAGUGACCUCUUCGGGGCCCGAUUUUCAGAGCAUAUUCGACCUGAAGACCCUGGACACGAGGCACGCGAAGAAGACCCCGAAAGCCGAAGAGUCUACCAAGGAUGGGAAAUUAGUCGAGGUCAAAGUGGAAGGUAAUAAAAUAUUAAGUAGCCUCGCGAGGGCCGAAGCGUCUCCAAAAAUCGACGCGCCGAGGUCGCCGAUUUCCCGGUAUACGAGGAAAAUCGAAGAAGUCGAGGAGGCGUCGAAAGUAGAGAACAAAGGAGGAGUGAAGUCGACUCGGUCGAAUGAGAGCAACGAACCGAAAUCGGAGCCGAGGGGUCUGGAGGCGACGCAGAAGGAAUUUUUAGACAUCUUCAACGAGAUGAACCGACCUCUGCGCGCAAGGGGAAUCCAAGAUGGCGGAAAGGUGGAAGGUAAGCCCGAUGAGAAAUUGAAAAUAGGAAAGAGGAACGCCGAAGGGACGCCGAAAAUAGAUCGGAGGAGAAACGAGGGGGUAAAAAUAGACGGCAGGAACGAGGAGCGGCAGACUAUCAAGAAGGUGGAGAAGCGAAGAGAAGCGAGGAACGAUGAAGAGUCAAGAACGGACGCCAGGAAGGAGGAAUUCCCGAGGGUCGUGGAAAAUGAAAGCGGGACCGUCCAGGAAUUCGAGAAAAAGGAGAAGAAGAGGCCGAAGACGACGCUGAAGACGACGGAGGACCCCGCGACGACGGACUUGAAGGAGAUGCUGAAGGAGAUGAAGCAUUCCCUGCCGAAGAGGCCGAAGCCGAAGAGGUCCUCGAGCGAGGAUGCCGGGGGGCCAAAAUCGUCGUCCUCUUCUAGUAGCAGCAUCGCCGAGAGCAGGAUGAAUUUCCUGAGUGCUGUGCUGACUGCGCAUCCUCCGGAGAUUCGGGUGAUGAAUGAGCCCCUGCUCUUCAGGAACGAUAUUAAAAAGGAUAUUAAGAGCGAUAUCAAGGACGUACCUCUGAUCCCGAAGAGUGAACCAGUCCCCAAAUCCGACUCCCCUGUUUUCAGGCCUGAAAUGAAAUUAAUUCAGGGUGAACCGGUGGUUAAGGAUAAGACAACGUUGAUAAAAAAUCAGUCUUCGAUUAAAGACGACCUGGCGUUGCCGAAGAGCGACAGAGAAGACAGGCAGAAGGUGUCCUCGGCAGUGCAGACCAGUGGAAACGUGAGAAGAGUUAACCAGGGAGCCUCCACCUCAUGGAAACUCGAAGACGUGCUUUACACCACGGGUAGAAAGAGCCAGGGUGCCCCAGGACUCGUCAAGAACACCUUCCAGCUGAUAAGGCCGCGAGACUUUGCCAGGAUAGAGGCGGCGAAAAUGUCAAAAGACAAGAAAGAGAACACUUACGCAAACGUGAUGGACCAGUCGUUGUAUGCCAACGCUCUUGUCCUCCCCUCUAAAAAGGACGCGUCGAAUGUCAUUCCUUCCGUGGAGCGUGAUAAGGAUCUUAGAGAUGAUAAGGAUAAUAACAGCGCCAAGGACGUCAAGGAGGUACCUGAAGCGGCGAAGUAUAUCGAGGCGCCUUCGGGACGACCUGAGCCGGUAGAAGACGACGAGGACCAUUCUACCCUGCAGGACAUGAACACAUUGGCUGUGAAUCGGUUGCUGAAGAGGUUGGAGGCGGCCAUCGCGUCCGGUCGUCAUCAGCAAGCCGCAGGCCUUGCCAAGGAGUUGGCGAGGUUGAAAAUACACUGUUCCGUGAUUCGACAGAGAUUUACAAACGUUAAGAAUAUUGUAAACGUGAACAUGUACGUGGAGGACAAGCUGGCUCACCAAGGGCCUAUUCCGUUGUUGCUUCAAAGGAACAUGACGGUGGCGCAAUUGAAGAACAAAGUCUUCGCGGAAUUGGAGAUCCCGACGAGCGUGCAGCGGUGGAUAAUCGGCAACAACCUGGCGAACGACGAGGCCACCCUCGAAGAGCUGCAGAUCAGCGAGGGCGCACCUGUCUUCGUCUACCUCGUCGCGCCUGACAAGGUCGAAGAACCGCAAAACGAAGGCGCAGGGGGCAGAGCCCUUGAGGUCGACCAAGCCCCGGUCGCAGGGGUAGGCAAAGCCCCCGAGGAAGUCGAGAAACCCGGAGACGAGCAUCGGCACCGUGAAGAGGUACCCGAGGAGAUCGAAGUACCGCAACGAGUGCUCGAGGUACAUUUCAACUUAACGAGGAAUGCACUCCAGAAAAGUCGAGGAUGGUGGAGUACGAGGAGCUGAUGUCUCUGGAGAACUGCGACGUGAUUCCAAACUCGGAGGAGAUCGAGUGUCCUGUGUGUUUCGUCACUUAUGGACCUCGCGAGGGUGUCAUCCUGAGGGACUGCCUCCACAUGUUCUGCAGACCUUGCAUCGCUAACACGAUUCUGUACUGCGAAGAAGCGGAGGUAAAGUGUCCUUUCCGAAACACUGAGUACUCCUGCGACAGUACUCUUCAAGAACGGGAAAUCAAAGCG
rnacentral:misc_RNA from 1 species